UGGGGAACAUUGCGCAAUGGGGGGAACCCUGACGCAGCCAUGCCGCGUGAAUGAAGAAGGCCUUAGGGUUGUAAAGUUCUUUCGGUAUUGAGGAAGGUUGAUGUGUUAAUAGCACAUCAAAUUGACGUUAAAUACAGAAGAAGCACCGGCUAACUCCGUGCCAGCAGCCGCGGUAAUACGGAGGGUGCGAGCGUUAAUCGGAAUAACUGGGCGUAAAGGGCACGCAGGCGGUUAUUUAAGUGAGGUGUGAAAGCCCCGGGCUUAACCUGGGAAUUGCAUUUCAGACUGGGUAACUAGAGUACUUUAGGGAGGGGUAGAAUUCCACGUGUAGCGGUGAAAUGCGUAGAGAUGUGGAGGAAUACCGAAGGUGAAGGCAGCCCCUUGGGAAUGUACUGACGUUCAUGUGCGAAAGCGUGGGGAGCAAACAGGAUUAGAUACCCUGGUAGUCCACGCUGUAAACGCAGUCGAUUUGGGGGUUGGGGUUUAACUCCGGCGCCCGUAGCUAACGUGAUAAAUCGACCGCCUGGGGAGUACGGCCGCAAGUUUA
rnacentral:rRNA from 1 species